rnacentral:siRNA from 1 species
AACUACAUUCGGACACUCUGU